GACGAACGCUGGCGGCGUGCUUAACACAUGCCAGUCGAACGGAAAGGCCCUGCUUUUGUGGGGUGCUCGAGUGGCGAACGGGUGAGUAACACGUGAGUAACCUGCCCUUGACUUUGGGAUAACUUCAGGAAACUGGGGCUAAUACCGGAUAGGAGCUCCUGCUGCAUGGUGGGGGUUGGAAAGUUUCGGCGGUUGGGGAUGGACUCGCGGCUUAUCAGCUUGUUGGUGGGGUAGUGGCUUACCAAGGCUUUGACGGGUAGCCGGCCUGAGAGGGUGACCGGCCACAUUGGGACUGAGGUACGGCCCAGACUCGUAUGGGAGGCAGCAGUGGGGAAUAUUGCACAAUGGGCGGACGCCUGAUGCAGCAACGCCGCGUGCGGGAUGACGGCCUUCGGGUUGUAAACCGCUUUCGCCUGUGACGAAGCGUGAGUGACGGUAAUGGGUAAAGAAGCACCGGCUAACUACGUG
rnacentral:rRNA from 1 species